rnacentral:rRNA from 1 species
AUUGAACGCUGGCGGCAGGCUUAACACAUGCAAGUCGAGCGGAUGAAGGGAGCUUGCUCCUGGAUUCAGCGGCGGACGGGUGAGUAAUGCCUAGGAAUCUGCCUGGCAGUGGGGGAUAACGUCCGGAAACGGGCGCUAAUACCGCAUACGUCCUGAGGGAGAAAGUGGGGGAUCUUCGGACCUCACGCUAUCAGAUGAGCCUAGGUCGGAUUAGCUAGUUGGUGGGGUAAAGGCCUACCAAGGCGACGAUCCGUAACUGGUCUGAGAGGAUGAUCAGUCACACUGGAACUGAGACACGGUCCAGACUCCUACGGGAGGCAGCAGUGGGGAAUAUUAGGCAAUGGGCGAAAGCCUGAUCCAGCCAUGCCGCGUGUGUGAAGAAGGUCUUCGGAUUGUAAAGCACUUUAAGUUGGGAGGAAGGGCAGUAAGUUAAUACCUUGCUGUUUUGACGUUACCAACAGAAUAAGCACCGGCUAACUUCGUG